GGUUGAGUGGGUUAAUUUCGAUCCUACAGCCUGCAAGGAUGCUGAUCAAGUUUCGUGAAAAACUAUUCCGCAGGGCAUGUGUAGCUCAACCGCAACUUGAUUUUGGAAAAUUCCUCGCAGGCUCUUCGCUGGACAGGAAAAAUUAAAGGAAAAGUACACAUACAGUGGAAAACUCAAGGAGAAAUCCAAUUGAAAGAAUCUGCAAUCAAGAGUAUGAAAAUUAUUUGCUGG